rnacentral:lncRNA from 1 species
UCUUGUGAGGUACCAUGGAAAUGGGGCCCACAGACCAAUGCUUCUCAGCCCCCUGGAUUCAGCCCCCUUCCUAGGGGUAUGUACGGACCUCCCGUCUUGCUGAAGAUCCUGAGCCAAGGGAAUUAUUGGCUGCAGCAUCAUCAAAUCACUAAUGUAUUACCAAUGAAGAGCCGGCAUCUUGGGGUUCCAGGCCUUGCGUUUGUGAGUAUAGGAAGUUCCUGCUGCAAUGUCAGAAGUCCAGGCUCCUUUUCUUGGAAGAAAGACCAUGUGAAGAAGCGUGUUGUCAGAUGUGAUGAAGAAGCCAUUGCGGAUACUCAGCCCUGUUGAGACUUCACAUGGCUCCAGCCUCAGCAGCUAUAUGACCACAACAGCACGAGAGACCCCAAAUGAGGACUGCCCAGAUGAGUUCAUUUACCCUGCAAAACUAAGAGGGAUAAUACUAAUGAAGCGUUGCCUCAAGCCACUAACAGUUUUACCCUGAUGGGAACCAUCAAGCAGAACCUUCUGGACCUGUACUUCCGAGUUCACUAGGGCUGGGAGAACUCAGCCCAGGGAUCAGCAACGCAUGUACGAGUCUCUCCAGAAGAGGCAUAACACUGACUGUAUGCUCUACAACUAACUAAUCUUCAGUUUGCAGAAGAGGAAACUAAAGGACAGGAAGUUGGCUGAUUCCUACAAUGAGCAGAAGUUACAGCAAAGGUCAAUGCCAGGACUGAGUUCCCUGUUUUUCUCACUCACAUUCUUUAAGUUGGUACCUGGGCCCCUGGUGCAGGAUGGGUUCUUCAUAAACCUUUAUUAAAUAAGUGUUCAAUAAAUCAAUACUCAGUUUUCUCCAUUGUAA